rnacentral:rRNA from 1 species
AGAGUGAACGCUGGCGGUAGGCCUAACACAUGCAAGUCGAACGGCAGCACAGUAGGAGCUUGCUCUUACGGGUGGCGAGUGGCGGACGGGUGAGGAAUACAUCGGAAUCUACCUUUUGGUGGGGGAUAACGUAGGGAAACUUACGCUAAUACCGCAUACGCCCUUCGGGGGAAAGCCGGGGACCAGCAAUGGCCUGGUGCUGAUAGAUGAGCCGAUGUCGGAUUAGCUUAGUUGGUGAGGUAAUGGCUCACCAAGGCGACGAUCCGUAGCUGGUCUGAGAGGAUGAUCAGCCACGACUGGAACUGAGACACGGUCAGACUCCUAGGGAGCAGCAGGUGGGGAAUAGUGGACAAUGGGCGCGAAGCCUAGAUCCGAGCCACACCGCGUGGAGUAAGACGGCCUUACGGUGUAA